UACGUAGGGUGCGAGCGUUAAUCGGAAUUACUGGGCGUAAAGCGUGCGCAGGCGGUUCGUUAAGUUCGAUGUGAAAGCCCUUGGCUCAACUGAGGGAGUGCAUCCGAAACUGGCAAGCUAGAGUAUGUAAGAGGGUCGCGGAAUUCCCGGUGUAGAGGUGAAAUUCGUAGAGAUCGGAAAGAACACCAACGGCGAAAGCACUCUGCUGGGCCGACACUGACACUGAGAGACGAAAGCUAGGGGAGCGAAUGGG
rnacentral:rRNA from 1 species